rnacentral:rRNA from 1 species
GACGAACGCUGGCGGCGUGCUUAACACAUGCAAGUCGAACGGAGGAUUUAUUUCGGUAAAUCCUUAGUGGCGAACGGGUGAGUAACGCGUGGGCAAUCUGCCCUUCAGAUGGGGACAACAUCCCGAAAGGGGUGCUAAUACCGAAUACGAUCACGCUGCCGCAUGGCGGUGUGAUGAAAGAUGGCCUCUAUUUAUAAGCUAUCGCUGAAGGAUGAGCCUGCGUCUGAUUAGCUAGUUGGUGGGGUAACGGCCUACCAAGGCGAUGAUCAGUAGCCGGUCUGAGAGGAUGAACGGCCACAUUGGGACUGAGACACGGCCCAAAACUCCUACGGGAGGCAGCAGUGGGGAAUAUUCCGCAAUGGACGAAAGUCUGACGGAGCAACGCCGCGUGAGUGAUGAAGGUUUUCGGACUGUAAAGCUCUGUUGUUUAGGACGAAAGUGCCUGUUGCAAAUAGUUACAGGUAUUGACGGUACUGAACGAGGAAGCCACGGCUAACUACG